UUAUUUGAUAGUACCUUUACUACUUGGAUAACCGUGGUAAUUCUAGAGCUAAUACAUGCUAAAAAUCCCGACUGUUUGGAAGGGAUGUAUUUAUUAGAUAAAAAAUCAAUGCUUUUCGGAGCUCUUUGAUGAUUCAUAAUAACUUUUCGAAUCGCAUGGCCUUGUGCUGGCGAUGGUUCAUUCAAAUUUCUGCCCUAUCAACUUUCGAUGGUAGGAUAGUGGCCUACCAUGGUUUCAACGGGUAACGGGGAAUAAGGGUUCGAUUCCGGAGAGGGAGCCUGAGAAACGGCUACCACAUCCAAGGAAGGCAGCAGGCGCGCAAAUUACCCAAUCCCAAUACGGGGAGGUAGUGACAAUAAAUAACGAUACAGGGCCCUUUCGGGUCUUGUAAUUGGAAUGAGUACAAUGUAAAUACCUUAACGAGGAACAAUUGGAGGGCAAGUCUGGUGCCAGCAGCCGCGGUAAUUCCAGCUCCAAUAGCGUAUAUUAAAGUUGUUGCAGUUAAAAAGCUCGUAGUUGAACCUUGGGCUUGGUUGGCCGGUCCGCCUUUUCGGCGUGUACUGGACCCAACCGAGCCUUUCCUUCUGGCUAACCUCUCGCCCUUGUGGUGUUUGGCGAACCAGGA
rnacentral:rRNA from 1 species